rnacentral:rRNA from 1 species
CGCCCCUUGGUAAAUUGACAUAUUAUAUUGUGUUUUAUUAAUAAUAUAGUAGUUAAUGUGUUUUAUAUAUAAGGGGUCGGACCUGCCCGGUGACAUAAUGUUAAACGGCCGCGGUACCCUGACCGUGCGAAGGUAGCGUAAUCAUUUGCUCUUUAAAUGGGGGCUGGUAUGAAUGGUUUGACGAGAACUAAGCUGUCUCUCUUGAAAUAAUUAGAAAUUAACUUUUAGGUGAAGAGGCCUAAAUGUGGCUAAGGGACAAGAAGACCCUAUUGAGCUUUAGUGAAAAUGGUAAAAAAUAGUUUAAUGAUUAGGCUACUGUAAUAUAAUUAUAUAUAAUGCUAGUUUAUUAUAUUAAUCUUUAGUUGGGGCGACUGAGGAACAUAAGAAACUUCCUUAUAAAGCAAGUUAUGAGAUGUUGGCGAAUUAGUUGGAUCCGAUAUGUGUCGAUUAAUGGAAAAAGUUACCAUAGGGAUAACAGCGUAAUCUUUCUGGAGAGAUCUUAUCGAAAGAAGGGGUUGCGACCUCGAUGUUGGAUUAAGAUGUCCUAAAGGCGUAGAAGUUUUUAGAGGUUGGUC